rnacentral:rRNA from 1 species
CCCUUAGAUGUUCUGGGCCGCACGCGCGCUACACUGACUGGUGCAACAAGUGUCGCUCCUUGGCCGACAGGCCUGGGCAAUCUUUGAACAUCGAUCGUGAUCGGGAUAGAUUCUUGUAAUUUUUGAUCUUAAACGAGGAAUUCCUAGUAAACGCAAGUCAUCAGCUUGCAUUGAUUACGUCCCUGCCCUUUGUACACACCGCCCGUCGCACCUACCGAUUGAAUGGUCCGGUGAAAUCUCCGGACUGGCGUGAGUCGGAGCAAUCUGACAAACACCGGAAAGUUGAUUAAACCUUACCAUUUAGAGGAAGGUGAAGUCGUAACA